rnacentral:rRNA from 1 species
UAUGUAGGGUGCAAGCGUUGUCCGGAAUUAUUGGGCGUAAAGAGCUCGUAGGCGGCUUGUCGCGUCGGCUGUGAAAACCUGGGGCUCAACCCCGGGCCUGCAGCCGAUACGGGCAAGCUAGAAUUCGGUAGGGGAGACUGGAAUUCCUGGUGUAGCGGUGAAAUGCGCAGAUAUCAGGAGGAACACCGGUGGCGAAGGCGGGUCUCUGGGCCGAUAUUGACGCUGAGGAGCGAAAGCGUGGGGAGCGAACAGG